rnacentral:rRNA from 1 species
AGUUUGAUCAUGGCUCAGAUUGAACGCUGGCGGCAUGCCUUACACAUGCAAGUCGAACGGUAACAGGUCUUCGGAUGCUGACGAGUGGCGAACGGGUGAGUAAUACAUCGGAACGUGCCCGAUCGUGGGGGAUAACGAGGCGAAAGCUUUGCUAAUACCGCAUACGAUCUACGGAUGAAAGCGGGGGAUCUUCGGACCUCGCGCGGACGGAGCGGCCGAUGGCAGAUUAGGUAGUUGGUGGGAUAAAAGCUUACCAAGCCGACGAUCUGUAGCUGGUCUGAGAGGAUGAUCAGCCACACUGGGACUGAGACACGGCCCAGACUCCUACGGGAGGCAGCAGUGGGGAAUUUUGGACAAUGGGCGAAAGCCUGAUCCAGCCAUGCCGCGUGCAGGAUGAAGGCCUUCGGGUUGUAAACUGCUUUUGUACGGAACGAAAAGCCUCUUUCUAAUAAAGAGGGGUCAUGACGGUACCGUAAGAAUAAGCACCGGCUAACUACGUGCCAGCAGCCGCGGUAAUACGUAGGGUGCAAGCGUUAAUCGGAAUUACUGGGCGUAAAGCGUGCGCAGGCGGUUUUGUAAGACAGAGGUGAAAUCCCCGGGCUCAACCUGGGAACUGCCUUUGUGACUGCAAGGCUGGAGUGCGGCAGAGGGGGAUGGAAUUCCGCGUGUAGCAGUGAAAUGCGUAGAUAUGCGGAGGAACACCGAUGGCGAAGGCAAUCCCCUGGGCCUGCACUGACGCUCAUGCACGAAAGCGUGGGGAGCAAACAGGAUUAGAUACCCCGGUAGU